rnacentral:tRNA from 1 species
UUCUAUCGCUCGGAUUUGAACCGAGAUCAGCCAAUGUAUAAGAUUGGUGCCCUACCAGUUGGACCACGAUAGA